GAGAGCUUGGGAAUGAAGUUGCCUAAAUUCAUAUUUGAACACAGCAGCUUACUUCCUGAGUGAUCUUUGACAACUUAACUUCUCUGUGCCAUAGUUUCCUAUAAAAUAAGAAUAAGAGGGUUGCUUCUUCAUGACUGUGGUAAAUCUUGAGUCUUACUGAUUUCAUCUCU